rnacentral:rRNA from 1 species
ACCACAUCCAGGAAGGCAGCAGGCGCGCAAAUUACCCAAUCCCGAUACGGGGAGGUAGUGACAAUAAAUAACAAUACAGGGCUUUUCAGUCUUGUAAUUGGAAUGAGUACAAUUUAAAUCUCUUAACGAGGAACAAUCGGAGGGCAAGUCUGGUGCCAGCAGCCGCGGUAAUUCCAGCUCCAAUAGCGUAUAUUAGAGUUGUUGCAGUUAAAAAGCUCGUAGUUGAAUUUUAGGCCCGGUUGGACGGUCUGCCUUUGGGUUUGUACUGUCCUGACUGGGCCUUACCUUCUGGUGAGCUGUCGUGUUGUUUACUCAGCGCGGCAGGGAACCAGGACUUUUACUUUGAAAAAAUUAGAGUGUUUAAAGCAGGCAUUCGCUUGAAUACAUUAGCAUGGAAUAAUAGAAUAGGACUUUGGUUCUAUUUUGUUGGUUUCUAGGACCGAAGUAAUGAUUAAUAGGGAUAGUUGGGGGCAUUAGUAUUUAAUUGUCAGAGGUGAAAUUCUUGGAUUUAUUAAAGACUAACUUCUGCGAAAGCAUUUGCCAAGGAUGUUUUCAUUAAUCAAGAACGAAAGUUAGGGGAUCGAAGACGAUCAGAUACCGUCGUAGUCUUAACCAUAAACUAUGCCGACUAGGGAUCAGGCAAGGAUAUUUUGACUUGUUUGGCACCUUAUGGGA